rnacentral:lncRNA from 1 species
ACUGCCACCGGAGGACGCGAGCCUGCCCGCGUCAACCCGUUUCCGGUUCACUUUGCAGGGCUCGGCCGCCCUGCCGAAGCUGCUGCCGGGCCGCUUCAGGUGCGGCAUCGCCUCCUUCUCGCUCAGCAGGGUGCGCAGCUUCUUCUGCUCCUGCGCCAUGGAAAUCGCCACUUUCAGGUUCAUCGUUCAGAAUUCUCGUGAAACGGUACGGUCGCAGUGGUGUUUUGCUUACCCUGAGUCGCCUCCUCUCCUCUUCCUGCCUGAGCCUGGCUUGCUUGUGCUCCUCCAAGACGGCAACCAAGCGAGCCCCGUCGUACAGGAACGGCUUCUUUCUUUCGCUCUCCCAUGCGAGUGUACGGCUCAUCAGGCUGUCAACCACGGCUGCAGAUUUUACCGACAUCGAAUUAGAGUGUGAAGAACUUCAGAGAUGCAAUCGGAAUGACAAAACAGGAACCACAUCGCAUCUGGUGUUCUAUGAAAUGUACCCGGAAUCUUGGUGAUGAUAAGCCUCGCUUUCUCCGCGCGUUUCAAGUUGAGGCGUGCGAUCCUGCCGGUACUGAAUCUGUUCUCGUCCUGAAACAGAAGCAGUUUCCCCCCUUGUCUUUAUUAUCUGUCUUCCGCGUUUGAAACCAGUGUUCAAUGUAUCCAAAUCCAAAACCCACAUUUUGGACCUACCGUAUUGUACUCCUCCAGCCACUCCUCUUCCUCGCAGGCCAGCAGCCACUUGUUUAUCUUCUCCAUGAUCUCUUUCCUGGACUGGAGCUCCUCCCUGGCUUUCGCUAUCUGUUCGUCGAUGCUGGCCAUGAGCUCGGAAGGGUUCACGAGGCCUGGUAGAAUUUCGUCAGCGUUAGAAAAAAUGAAGCCAUCUGAACCAGAGUCGAUCAGUAAAGCAGGAACUGUGAACUGGUACCAGAGUCGAUCAGCGCAAUGGAUUUCUCCGGCACGGUGCUCGCAUCGGGCUCCACGUGCAUGCUCCUGCAAAUGCUCUCCAGCUCCAGCCGCCUCUUGAGCACGAGCUCCUUCAUCCGGCCGGCCUUGAGCCUCGUCAGCCUCUCCACCUCCUCCUCCGUCUGCGCCGCGCCGAAUCAUGAAACGACCAACAGAUCAAACGUCACUGCCACUGCGACCGCAACCGAACGAGUCCGGCAACAAAAGAGAGAGAGAUCUCAAUGCCGUGUGUAACUUGCAAAUGAUAGCGUUUAAGAAAAAAAUGGGUGGGUUUAUUUAUCCGUUGUUUAUUUUUCAAGUCGCCUCUCAAAAGACUGGAACGCACCAAGCCAUAUUCCGAAAAAAUAUCGAAGACCUGAUGUGGCCGACAGCACUAGCGCACGCGCCGUCCUACGUACACUGGCCGUCGGCCGUGCGUUGCACACCGCGCAGGCGCACACCGCCGCCGCCGCCUCGGCGCCCCAAUUCCAAACUUCAAAUGAUGACACAUGACAGCAUGGGCCGUAUCCUUCGCGUCACGCAGCGGAACGAGACCAGCCGUAGCAGGCUAGCAGCCCCCUUCGAAAAUAUGGAGACCGGCCAGGCCACCUCGCACGUCACACGUCAGGCCGACGUACGCUAACCGUCCCGUCCAACCCAACUCUGCGCGGUCGCGGAUGCGAAAUCGUGCACGGCAGGCGCGCCACUCCAAGAUCUGAAUCCUGCCCCCUGCCCGGCAAACCGUAGCCUGCCGGUGCCGGAAGAUAGAUAGAUAGAAUAGAAGAAGAGAAGAGAUGGUAUAAGCUCACCAAUUCUCUGAAUAAGAUAUUCUUUAACAAUAACAAUAGAAUAUUUUCGACACGAGUAACCCUCCAAAAAAUCUGUGUAAAAGGUAACACCGCUACAAAUUACAAUGGCACUCUAUAUACACACACGUGACAAGUCUUUGCUACUCGUGCGGUUUCGAGUUUACGACAGAGCUAGCGACGAGGACAUGCUGCGGCCCUUGGACACGGCGACGUAGUUGAACGGCGGCGCCGAGAGCCGCCUCGCACCCUUGAAGAACUCGCCGCACUGUCCCGCGCCCGCCGCCGAGGAACGCGGCCUGAUGAGCUCGGUUGCACUCGCACCACCACCACCGCUGCUGCUGCUGCUGGUGGUGGUGCCACUGCCACCGGAGGACGCGAGCCUGCCCGCGUCAACCCGUUUCCGGUUCACUUUGCAGGGCUCGGCCGCCCUGCCGAAGCUGCUGCCGGGCCGCUUCAGGUGCGGCAUCGCCUCCUUCUCGCUCAGCAGGGUGCGCAGCUUCUUCUGCUCCUGCGCCAUGGAAAUCGCCACUUCCAGGUUCAUCGUUCAGAAUCCUCGUGAAACGGUACGGUCGCAGUGGUGUUUUGCUUACCCUGAGUCGCCUCCUCUCCUCUUCCUGCCUGAGCCUGGCUUGCUUGUGCUCCUCCAAGACGGCAACCAAGCGAGCCCCGUCGUACAGGAAUGGCUUCUUUCUUUCGCUCUCCCAUGCGAGUGUACGGCUCAUCAGGCUGUCAAUCACGGCUGCAGAUUUUACCGACAUCGAAUUAGAGUCUGAAGAACUUCAGAGAUGCAAUCGGAAUGACAAAACAGGAACCACAUCGCAUCUGGUGUUCUAUGAAAUGUACCCGG